CUGCGGUGAUGAUGCGAUCUCCCUGACCUGGUAUUGGGGGCCCCGGGGCCCGCUCUGACCGGUGUAUGACGUCUGAAUCUUCUCUCUGAGCAG
ensembl:snoRNA Z30 small nucleolar RNA